rnacentral:rRNA from 1 species
GAUGAACGCUGGCGGCGUGCCUAAUACAUGCAAGUCGAACGCAGAUGGAAGGAGUUUGCUCCUUCCGGUUGCGUUGCGCACGGGUGUGUAACGCGUAGGUCCUCUCCCUGGUAGUGGGGGAUCAUUAUUGGACCCGAUAGCUAAUCCCGUAUAACUGUAGAUCUUGCAUCCUAUAUACUUAAAAUGUGCAUUUGCAACACUAUCAGAUGGACCUCCGUUGUAUUAGCUAGUUGGUGAGGUAACGGCUCACCAAGGCGACGAUUCCUAGCCGACCUGAGAGGGGGAUCGGCCACACUGGGACUGAGACACGGCCCAGACUCCUACGGGAGGCAGCAGUAGGGAAUCUUCGGCAAGGGACGGAAGGCUGACCGAGCAACGCCGCGGGAGUGAAGAAGGCUGUCGGUUCGUAAAGCUCUGUUGUUAGGGAAGAACAAGUAUGGGUGGAAAAUGGUGACACUGUGACGGUAUCUGACCAGAAAGGUACGGCUAACUACGUG